GGGGCUGGGGGCUCAGUUGGUAGAGUGUUUGCCUAUCAUGUACAAGGCCCUGGGUUUAAUCCCAGCACCACCA
rnacentral:tRNA from 1 species